UUUUCUCUUGUCUGUCACCAUGUGAGACAUGGCUUUCACCUUCUGCCGUGAUUGUGAGGCCUCCCCAGCCACAUAGAAUUGUGUCAUGAGAGCCACCCUUCCCAAAGUAGCACUUGUGAGCAGAGGUGAUCAGAGGGCUUUCUGAAGAGUGAGGAGUGACUUCAGAGGGCCAAAAAGAAGAAAAGGGAGUGAGCCAGUCGCUAAGACUCCUAAUCCCGGCUUAUUUUUACUGCUUCUCAACACAGCAUUGCAAGUGGUUGAUUUGAUGGAUGUGGCACGUGACCAAGUUCUGGCUAAUGAGAUGUCUAAAACUUAAAGUGGAAGAGAUGUAUCAUCUCCUUUUCCUUGCUCCAUCCUGCUACCUGAAAAAUGGAUGUGGUGACAAGCCCUGGAAAACCACAAGGAUGAGAACAGCACUGGAGAGAUGGUGCAGCGCAUGAUGAAAUUGCCUAGGUAUCUAAUGGCUGAGUAGAAUUGCUCUCCUCCAACUUUUACAUGGGAAGGAAAUAAAACUCUAUUUUGUUUGA